UGGGGAAUAUUGCACAAUGGGCGAAAGCCUGAUGCAGCAACGCCGCGUGAGUGAUGAAGGCCUUCGGGUUGUAAAGCUCUGUCUUUUGGGACGAUAAUGACGGUACCAAAGGAGGAAGCCACGGCUAACUACGUGCCAGCAGCCGCGGUAAUACGUAGGUGGCAAGCGUUGUCCGGAUUUUACUGGGCGUAAAGGAUGCGUAGGCGGAUUUUUAAGUGAGAUGUGAAAUACCCGGGCUUAACUUGGGUGCUGCAUUUCAAACUGGGAAUCUAGAGUGCGGGAGAGGAGAAUGGAAUUCCUAGUGUAGCGGUGAAAGUGCGUAGAGAUUAGGAAGAACACCAGUGGCGAAGGCGAUUCUCUGGACCGUAACUGACGCUGAGGCAUGAAAGCGUGGGUAGCAAACAGGAUUAGAUACCCUGGUAGUCCACGCCGUAAACGAUGAGUACUAGGUGUAGGAGGUAUCGACCCCUUCUGUGCCGCAGUUAACACAAUAAGUACUCCGCCUGGGAAGUACGAUCGCAAGAUUAAAA
rnacentral:rRNA from 1 species